CUCUUCCUUUCCUGCAUUAAGCAAAUGAUGCUCCGAUGCUUCUAGGUCUCUCCACCACUGCAAAAUGCUCAGAGAAGUGGAGGGAGUGAAAAGGAAGUUGCCUACUACUCUUAAGGAUACUGGAAAGUCGCCUUCAAAUCUAAAGUGAAGACUUGGGGGCGGGGGAUGCCCCCUUCCUGAAGAGGGAAUGAGGGUCCCUCCCCUAAAAACGAGCCUCUGUUCGGGUGAAGGCGAUCCCCACCCUGAAAGAGAGGCGUGUAUGUGGAAAGGUGGUGGAACGUUGUACCCUGAAGAGGAGCCUGGAUUUGAAGAAGUGUCCCAACUCUGAAGGGGGAGACGGAAUUUCACUCUGUCACCCAGGCUAGAGUAGAGUGGAGUGAUCUCAGCUUACUGCAACCUCUGCCUCCCGGGUUCAAGCGAUUCUCCUGCCUCAGUGUCCCAAAUAGCUGGGACUACAGUGCCCUCUCUAGCCUUGGGAGUCCUAAUGAGCUAUAAUCACAGAGACGCCAGACUAGUCAAAAUUGGAAGAAAGAGCUAUAAUCACAGGAAAAGAACUCUCUCCGCAAUUUGAAGUAUCCCAGAAAAAGCAGCAGCAAUGAGGACAGACUUCAAGACAAGCAGAGAGGAGCAGCCAUGGCGGGGCCUGCAGUGGCUACAGGGGGCCUCUAUAGCGUGAAAUGACAUCAGAAAAGGACCUGAGUAGCCCAAGAAAGGGAGGACGGAAAGUCAAGGAGGAAAGUAAGCAGGAGUUGAAUUUAGGAGUAAAUGCUACGGUGAUUAUGACUCACAGCCUCAUGGUCCUCAAGGCUGGAGUGGCCUUGGAGAAACCAGGUCAUAGUUGUAUAACCAAGGUACUCUGCAGGAUGGACCAUGGAGCCGCCUCCUGCAGCCACAGGUGAUCAAAAUGAGGUCUGUGUGACGGAGCCUGCAGCGAGGCAAGACAGCUGCCUCAAACAAGUCCAUAUUUCAUCUCUCCUCCUAACCUCCUGCCUGCCAAAGCUCUGGCAGGGAAGUCGUUACAACAAAGCAUGCAUGCACCCUAAUUACCUGUCAUACUUCUCUGUUGCUGGACCAGACCCUAUAAGAGAAUUCCAAAGAAUUUAUUUUUAUGGGAACAAAAUGCAGUAAUUGAUGUUGCAAUCCUGCCCAAAUCACUGAACAGAUCCUUUAACAUCCAAAUUCCCUAAAACAGCUUUGACUUUACUACACACUUCACAUGCCAGCUAGUGUUUGAAGUGCGUGUAGCCGCCCCCAUGAAGCCCUUUCUUACUGUAAGUGCUCAAGAACAAAGAUAUUUCUUAAACUUCCUUUGAUUCUCAUAAAAUAAAAAUAGCCAUUACAUAAUAAAGCACAAAGCUCCAUGGGUUAAGAAGUC